rnacentral:rRNA from 1 species
UACGUAGGUGGCAAGCGUUUGUCCGGAUUUAUUGGGGUUUAAAGGGUGCGUAGGCGGCUUUGUAAGUCAGUGGUGAAAUAUGGCAGCUUAACUGUCAAGGUGCCAUUGAUACUGCGGAGCUUGAGUACAGAUGAGGUAGGCGGAAUUGACGGUGUAGCGGUGAAAUGCUUAGAUAUCGUCAAGAACACCUAUAGCGAAGGCAGCUUACUAGGCUGUAACUGACGCUGAGGCACGAAAAGUGUGGGGGAUCAAACAGG